AACGAACGCUGGCGGCAUGCCUAACACAUGCAAGUCGAACGAGUCCUUCGGGUUUAGUGGCGCACGGGUGCGUAACGCGUGGGAACCUGCCCUUUGCUUCGGAAUAACUCCCCGAAACUGGUGCUAAUACCGUAUAUUCUCUUCGGGGCAAAGAUUUAUCGCCUUUGGAUCGGCCCGCGUUGGAUUAGCUAGUUGGUAGGGUAAUAGCCUACCAAGGCGACGAUCCAUAGCUGGUCUGAGAGGAUGAUCAGCCACACUGGGACUGAGACACGGCCCAGACUCCUACGGGAGGCAGCAGUGGGGAAUAUUGGACAAUGGGCGAAAGCCUGAUCCAGCAAUGCCGCGUGAGUGAUGAAGGUCUUAGGGUUGUAAAGCUCUUUUACCCGGGAAGAUAAUGACAGUAGCGGGAGAAGAAGCCCCGGCUAACUCCGUG
rnacentral:rRNA from 1 species